AUACAGCUGACGAGUUCCAAAUAGGACGAAACGCGCGUCCUGGAU
rfam:Schistosoma rodhaini strain Burundi genome assembly, scaffold: SROB_scaffold0008157